GGCAAUUUCUUGGCUGCAACACUAGUACAAGCCAAUGCAACAAGCAAUGAGAUCAAGGGCAACAUAUGCCCGUGGACAACCAAGGGCAAGGGCGACGGGUUUUUGAAAGGAUGUUUCGCUGCUCUCUGUUGCUGCUGCGUCCUGGAUACGUGCUUUUGAUCCAAGUUUUGAGGAAAAACAAAACCAUAUAUUGAUAGUUUGAUCUCCUCCUCGUUACUAAUCGUAAUCUUUAUCUAAUAAAAUCUGUUCCUUGUUAGAAUUUCUGUUACUUACAUCAUCAUAAUGUAAAAUUGGCAGUA